ACCACAACUUGGUAAAAUGCUCAAAACCAGCUUGAGGUUUUCCAAACAGGCCUGUUGGGCUGGAAUAACAGGCUCAUUUCCAACCAGGAUGGGCUCUUUAAGCACCUAGAUUUUGCCCGGUUUAGUCCAUGACCUAAAUUUAUUUCCAGCACAGAUUGUGACUAUGAUUUCUAACCUCUAUAAAUACCCAGAGACGAUUUAGUCGUCAUCUUCACGAUACGCCAACACUGAAACAGGUCGGCGAAGGUACCGGAGGCCGAGGGCGAAGAUGAGAGCCAAGUGGAAGAAGAAGCGCAUGAGGAGACUCAAGAGAAAGCGCCGAAAGAUGAGGCAGAGAUCCAAGUAGAUUGCAGCAGUGCGCAUGGACACAAAGAUGGAUCGUUGUACGCAAUUCCUUUCCUCCUGUUAUGACCUUCGUGUUGUGAAGGGAGGCUCUGUUUUGCAGUUUAAAACUUAGUAGGCUAUAGCUUUUAGUACCAAGUAUAGACAUGUAUUAAGUGGUUCCUUCUUUCAAUAAGUUGUUUCGGAGUAUCUGGAUUCAUUAACUGGUUAAUGGAAUUUGCGUUUUUGAUC